CCUACGGGAGGCAGCAGUGGGGAAUAUUGGACAAUGGGGGCAACCCUGAUCCAGCCAUGCCGCGUGUGUGAAGAAGGCCCUCGGGUUGUAAAGCACUUUCAGUGAGGAAGAACGCCUGGUGGUUAAUACCCAUCAGGAAAGACAUCACUCACAGAAGAAGCACCGGCUAACUCCGUGCCAGCAGCCGCGGUAAUACGGAGGGUGCGAGCGUUAAUCGGAAUUACUGGGCGUAAAGCGCGCGUAGGUGGCUUGAUAAGCCGGUUGUGAAAGCCCCGGGCUCAACCUGGGAACGGCAUCCGGAACUGUCAAGCUAGAGUGCAGGAGAGGAAGGUAGAAUUCCUGGUGUAGCGGUGAAAUGCGUAGAGAUCGGGAGGAAUACCAGUGGCGAAGGCGGCCUUCUGGACUGACACUGACACUGAGGUGCGAAAGCGUGGGUAGCAAACAGGAUUAGAUACCCGGGUAGUC
rnacentral:rRNA from 1 species